rnacentral:rRNA from 1 species
UACGAAGGGGGCUAGCGUUGCUCGGAAUCACUGGGCGUAAAGGGUGCGUAGGCGGGUCUUUAAGUCAGGGGUGAAAUCCUGGAGCUUAACUCCAGAACUGCCUUUGAUACUGAAGAUCUUGAGUUCGGGAGAGGUGAGUGGAACUGCGAGUGUAGAGGUGAAAUUCGUAGAUAUUCGGAAGAACACCAGUGGCGAAGGCAGCGAAUUGGCGCUAUAUUGACGCUCAGGCACGAAAGCAUGGGGAGCAAACAGG